AUAACAGUUAGAAAUGACUGCUAAUACCGCAUAAGACCACAGCACCGCAUGGUGCAGGGGUAAAAACUCCGGUGGUAUGAGAUGGACCCGCGUCUGAUUAGGUAGUUGGUGGGGUAACGGCCUACCAAGCCAACGAUCAGUAGCCGACCUGAGAGGGUGACCGGCCACAUUGGGACUGAGACACGGCCCAAACUCCUACGGGAGGCAGCAGUGGGGAAUAUUGCACAAUGGGGGAAACCCUGAUGCAGCGACGCCGCGUGAGCGAUGAAGUAUUUCGGUAUGUAAAGCUCUAUCAGCAGGGAAGAAAAUGACGGUACCUGACUAAGAAGCACCGGCUAAAUACGUGCCAGCAGCCGCGGUAAUACGUAUGGUGCAAGCGUUAUCCGGAUUUACUGGGUGUAAAGGGAGCGUAGACGGAGUGGCAAGUCUGAUGUGAAAACCCGGGGCUCAACCCCGGGACUGCAUUGGAAACUGUCAAUCUAGAGUACCGGAGAGGUAAGCGGAAUUCCUAGUGUGGCGGUGAAAUGCGUAGAUAUUAGGAGGAACACCAGUGGCGAAGGCGGCUUACUGGACGGUAACUGACGUUGAGGCUCGAAAGCGUGGGGAGCAAACAGGAUUAGAUACCCUGGUAGUCCACGCCGUAAACGAUGACUACUAGGUGUCGGGCAGCAAAGCUGUUCGGUGCCG
rnacentral:rRNA from 1 species